GUCGUAACAAGGUUUCCGUAGGUGAACCUGCGGAAGGAUCAUUAACGAGUUUUGAAAGGGGUUGUCGCUGGCCUUUCACGAGGCAUGUGCACACNCUGCUCAUCCACUCUCAACCUCUGUGCACUUAUUGUAGGUCGGUGGAAGGCUCGCAAGAGCUGGAAGCCUGCUUAUGUUUUACUACAAACGCUUCAGUUAUAGAAUGUUUACUUGCGUAUAACGCAUUUAUAUACAACUUUCAGCAACGGAUCUCUUGGCUCUCGCAUCGAUGAAGAACGCAGCGAAAUGCGAUAAGUAAUGUGAAUUGCAGAAUUCAGUGAAUCAUCGAAUCUUUGAACGCACCUUGCGCUCCCUGGUAUUCCGGGGAGCACGCCCGUUUGAGUGUCAUGGUAUUCUCAACCUUCCUCACUUUUGUGACUGGAAGGCUUGGAUGUGGAGGUCGUGCGGGCUCUCGCGAGUCGGCUCCUCUGAAAUGCAUUAGCGUGAACGUUUACGGAUCGCUAUCAGUGUGAUAAUUAUCUGCGCUGUUAGUGUUGAAGUAUUGCUUAGUGUCGCGCUUCUAACCGUCCUUCAGUUGGACAACUUAUCUGACAUCUGGCCUCAAAUCGGGCGGGACUACCCGCUGAACUUAAGCAUAU
rnacentral:rRNA from 1 species